GAAAGAAGAUAAUUGAAAUAUUAAGGGCAGCUUUAGUCUGUCUUGUAAAGUGAGUAAACAAAAGAUUCCCGAAGUUGAUUGAAUAUUAGGAAAAAGUCAGAAACCAAAUAAAGUCUAAGUUUUGAUAGAGAGUUCAAGGUCUAGGCUCACAUCUCCCUUCAGGUAGUAUUCUCUAUAGAGAUCUGUCCUGCUCCUUGCAAAUAUAUAAAAUUACACUUCUGUCUCAACUCCUCUUUCUGUAAGCAUUCACCAGAGCCACAUAGAGCCUCUGUUCUUCAGCGAUAACCACGGUUAAAAAUGGCACUUAGUUCUCAGAUAUUCCCCACGUAUAAGGUCCAGUGUUAGCAAAGAGUAUUAUUAAAUCAGUUUAACAGGAACCCACAUUCUUUUUCUAUCAAAUUACUCCAACUAAUUGAUAAGCUCCUCAUCCUCUUCUAGCUUCCAGGUGAUGUCUUAGCACCCUGACCUGUCUCCCGCAAGGUUCUUUUUAGGCUGAUUUAACCAGAGCCCCAUUAUCUAGAUGUGGGGCAGCAUUCAUCCUCUGCCUUCUGUGGGCCUCCAUUGCACUAAGUCCCAGGGACCACAAGUUGGUCCAGAUGCCACCCAAGACAGAACCCUCUAGCUUGCUGUAUCAUUGAUACCCAGGUGGCCCACACAUUCACUGGUUCAGCAUGUAUGUUUUGAAGACUUACAAUGGACCAGGCAGAUGAGCUCCCCUGAGAAGUAGGCAGAGAGGUGUGGUUGUUACCAAUACUUUAGAGACGUGAAGCCUGAGACCCAACAGGUUAGGGCUUCAUUCUUUUGAGUUUUUAUCAUAAAAUGACCUCUGUAAUCUGGGCCAAUUAAUUUUCCCUAGCCUACACUCACCUAUGAACUGUGCAACAACGACAUGAAUAACAUUUACGUGAUAGUUUACUUAUUACAGUAAUAGCUAACACAUAUUAGAGACCACCUGUAUUCAAAGCACUACUGUAGCUUUUUUUUUUUUUUUUUACAUCUGUGUACUUACUUGGUCUAUUCCUGUUCAAGGAAAAGAAAAAUGGGUAAUUGGUGAAGGGCAUUUUGCAGGUAAGUAGAACUUAGGGUGUUGGGCUUCUGAGCAUAUAAGCUACCACAGAAUAGUCUCAUAAGAAUCUGGUCAAGACAAAUCUUUCCAGGUACAGAUACAGGAACUGGGUGUCCUAACAGGAAAAAGAUUCAGACAUUCAGACACUGAAUCUAGCAAGCCAGCAACCAGAAGACAAGUGGGAGGAUUAGAUGUAUGAUGGAUCUGGACCAUCCAAUCAAAUGAAAUUGAGUUGGGAGCUGUUGGAUAGUUCUAGGAACAUUAAGGGGAGUGAGUUGCUGUGCGAAGUUAUGGCAAUGAUAAAAAUCACGUACGCUGUAGUUAUUCGUUUAGGACCCUUUUUGGAUACUGGGUAAUUAGAUUAACAAGUGGCUGGGUCAAAGGGAAAUGUAUGAGAAAAGAGGGAAGAACUGGGAAGGGAGGAGGACAGCGAGAAGGAGGGAGGGAGGAGAGAGAAGGGAAGAGGGAAGUUAGGAGAAGAGAGGCGGGUAGGGAGACACUCUCUUCUCUGUGCAGAGCCUCAAGGCUACACCCCCAUGACAUUCAUCUCUGAACUCUUGGCACCAGCCACUGUGAGAUGCCUGAAUGGGCAAUGAAUGGGCAAAUCACCAGCAAAUUGCCAGCGAGCUCACAUCCCAGGUCAUCAUUUCUUCUGAGCUGAAUGUUUUUCUCCCUGUCCUCUUUAGCAGCACCCAGGGAGCAAAACACUACUCCAGGUCACUUCUCAGCCUGGGUAGGAAAGUUCCAAGGGACAAGGAGGUUUCAGAAAGACCAGCAUGGGCUCAGGGCAAUAUGCCUCCCCCUUUGCCACUCUUAAGCCUCAAGAGCCAGUCUCCUGUAACAAGCUGUCAUCUGUCUCUGAGAAAUUUGUCCUUCUUUUAGAUCAGUAAAGAGUCUGUGCUUCUUUAUUCAGGAGCAAACACAAAAUGUUCUGUAUUUUAAAAGCGGACUAGAGUCAACAGGAUCUCCCACAACACUUAGCACCAAGUAAAGAGUCAGGAUAGGAUGGCUCCAUAAAAGACAGAUGCCCAGUAAACCUGAAUUUUAGAUAUACUGCAAAUAUGAAGGAUAGUGCAUCAUAAACAUUACACACAGCAUACUUAUAUUUUAAAAAUAGUCCCUGCUUAUCCGAAAUUAAUUUUUAACCUGCCUUUAUUUGCCAAACCUGACAACCCCAACAGGGCAAUGUCCUUCCAGCCAAGUGGGGGUGGGGGACUGUCCUCGACCCACCCUAGAUGUCUCAUGGUCCUGAGCCCCUGCCAAAAGCCUCUUCGCAUCCUGCAUUCAUCUCUCACCUCCAUCCCGUUCCAAUUCACUUUCUUAAAGAGUUUGGGGUUUUGCCCUCCUUCUUCCUAUCUUCCUUAUCUUUCCCUUUCUCCCUCCUUCCAUUCUUGUUUUUAUUGUUAUGUGUCUGUCUGUCUGUUUGCAGUACUAGGGGCCAAACCCAGGGCCUUGGGUGAACUAGGCAAGCAUUCUACCACAGUGCGACAUCUUCAGCUCCCCCCACUCUCUUAGCUCCCCCCACUCUCUCAGCUGCCCCCACUCUUUUUAGGGUUCAGCUAUUUUGUGGUUGAGUGUUUUGCCUAUACAUCUGUCUGUGCACCACAUGCAUGCUUGGUAUUUGUAGAGGUGAGUGGGGCUGGCGGGGUUGGCGGCGGGGGAAGAAAACUGCUGAAUCUGUGGAUCUAGCUAUGGUUGCGAAUUACAGUGUAGAUGCUGGGAUUCAACUGCUGGUCCUCUGGAAGAGCAGGAACUACUUUUAACCACUGAGCUGUAUCCGAGACCCCAACCUUGUAGUUUUUAAGACAAGAUCUGGCUAUGAAACCCAGUCUAUCUGCUUUUACCUCCCACGUGCUGAUGCUCCAAGGUGUAGGGCCCCACAAGACCCAGCCCCUACAUUCAUUUUACUCAAUGUCUCCAGCCCCUGACACCUUUUCCAGGAGCUGUGCUACACAGAUGACAAGUCAGAUAUAGUCCCUGAAAAGCUGACAGCCUGAGGUUUGGAGGAGAGACAACAUAGACAAGGGAGCAUGACAGAAAUCGAAUUUUCUAAUGUGAACUGUGAGUGUGAGUACAUUGAAGACUAUGGUUCAUUGGAGGGUGGAGGACCAUGAAUGGGAUGGCCUGGGAAGUCUCCUGUAGGUAGUAACACGUGCAUGGGAGAUCCUAGCCUUGGUAAAGUGUCCAGAUUUGAACCUCUCCGGGCCUCAAUUUUCUCAUCUGUAAAAUGAGUGGAUCAGAGACAGCAUUUGCAUCCAAGGGACUUUUAAGAAGUAUGCUAAUGCACUGCAGUGUUAUUUGAAAUUCAAGUGCAAAGCAAACAUAGAAAACAUACAUGAUUUUAAAAUCUGAGUGAUAGACCUAACAAAUUGAUAAACUACUACCUACAUUAUUCAAAAAAAUUGAAAAUUUCUAUCAAAACUCGGACGUUUAUUGGCCGCCAUCUUACAAACAGCCACAUGGGGGCAACAAAGUACCACACAAACUGAGACUGAGCUGGUCAAGCGCUGCAUUAAUCCAUAAUUCAUUCAUAUCUUGUCUUUUCACUUAAUUGACUUUCAUGAUCUCUGGGUAUGUUUGGGAUCCUUUUCAGAACCUAUAGAAGAGAAAGAAUUGAAUCAAGGUGUGGUCUGCCCUUAACCCCAGCCGUCAGGAGGCCAAGCAGGCAAAUCUCUUGGAGUUCAAGGCCAGCCAUAGCUACGGAGUGAAACUCUGUCAAGAUAGAAUGAAAGAGGGGAAAGGGAAGGAAGGAGGGAUAUGCCCCUCCCCAUUCCUAUCUUCCUGAGGUCAUGUGUGUAGUUUCUGACAAGCCCCCAAGGCAGGCACUAUUACUAUAUCUACUUUAGAAAUGAGGAUCCUGGGAAGUUAGAGACGUUUCCUCUUUUGAAAGGAUUCCUAAAGAGAAGCUAGGAAGACUAUAAGAGCCAGAGAUAAGGAGGAUUGGAGCAAAAUAGUCUUCUGGAGAGGAUAGCCCAGUUAUUGCACUCAGGAAUGCACAGCUGCUGUGCUUGGCUGCACGAGAUCAAGCCAGUGAACGCUGCAGCAUGGAGUGUUGCGGUGGCUUGACUAUGUUUGGCCCAGGAAGUAGCACUAUUAGGAGGUGUGAUCCUGUUGGAGUAGGUGUGGAGUAGGUUGCAAGAAGUGUGUCACUGUGGGGGUGGGCAGUGAGACCCUCCUCCUAGCUGUCUGAAGUCAGUCUUCUGUUUGCCUUCAAAACAAGAUGUAGAACUCUUAGCUCCUCCAGUGCCAGGCCUACCUGGAUGCUGCUGUGCUUCCUGCCAUGAUGAUAAUCUGCCGAACUUCUGGACAUGUAAGCCAGCCCCAACUAAAUGUUGAACUUUAUAAGAGAGACUUUGCCAUGGUGUCUCUUCACAGCAAUGAAAACCCAAACUAAGACAAAAGUUGGUCCCUGGGAUUGGGGUGUUAUAUGAUGGGCCUGACCAUGGUUUUGUUUGUUUGUUUGUUUGUUCUGUUGUGUUUUGUUUUGUUUUUGUUUUGUUUUGUUUGAAGGAAGGUAGAUUUGGGGACUUUGAAUUUGAAAAGCUAUGGAAUGCUUUAAGUAGGACUCAAUGGACCAUCCUAGUAAGAAUAUGGAAAGCGUUGGUGCUGAGGGUGAUUUGAACUCUGGAGGUCAUUCUUACAUUUUAUUGAAGAAUGUUGCUGCUUUCUGCCCUUGUCUGAAAAGUCUGUCUGAGAUUAAGGUAAAGAGAUUUCGAUCAAAUGAAUUGACAAAGGAAGACUCAGAAAGGCGCAGCAUAGACUAUGUCCUCUGGUUUGCUCCUAUGAAGAGCAUUUUGAUCAAGCUUAGGCAGUGAAGAAGUUGGAAAACAGAAAGCUCGUGAAGAUAUAAUAGAACAAGGGGACCAUGUUCCAGCCCCAGCAAACAGCAGAACUCAGCAACUUUGGCCAUGUGGCUCUCUGGCUUAAGAGUCAAGAAUAGAAGGGGGUUAUUGGCACAAUUGAUGUUGGUUAGCUGGAACUAAGAAAUUAGUGGUGAUUAAGAAGAGACCAGGAUCAUUUAGGUAAAAAAAAAAAAAUCUUCUGGGAAGUGUUUUCUGAGAGCACAAAGGAGCUGUGUUCCAGAGAUAGCCAAGAUUGUACCUCAUGCUGCAACUGUACUUGGUAAUGUGUAAGAAUCACCCAUGUGGCACUUGUUUUGAAGUCAUGAAGGGGUCAUGGAAAGCAGCUGGGAGAGGCCAUAGAAGGUCAUUGGUUAAGCUUCAGCCUCAGUUGCAGUUGAGGGCCCAGGACUGAAGGGGUCAGGCAAGGAAGUUGAGGCUUGGCACCAUGAAGAGAGCCUAUGAGAGGCUAUAGGUGAAGCAGUAGAAUACCACAGUGAAUUGGAGAUGGCAGUACCAUGAGAUGACCUCCAAGAACAGCAGCAGCAGUGGAAUGGAGUCAACCAGAGUACUACACAAGCAGAGUUGAAGAAGUGACACGAGCCAUUUGGAGGAGCCCAGGAGAUCAUUUGUGGAUCCAAGACAAUGGAACAAGAAGCUGUAAAGUUGGUAUUACCUUGGAUACCUUUAGAGAUGUCAGAGCCAUGGAUACCUGCUGAGGAAAGCUGCUAACAGGGAGUGGAACCAGCCCAAGAGAAUGAAGUUUGUUGCUGCUGAAUGCCAGAUCUGCCAACAGAAGUCAACAAGGGUGAAAGGAGUUGGAGAUCUGAAGAGCGUUUUGACAUUAGACAUGAAAACAUAGAGUAUGUCCAGCUGGUUUUCUGUUUGCUUUGGUCUAGUAUUUCCUCUUAAUGAUGUUUUGGGAUAGUAAUGUAUAUCCUGUAUGAUGUUGGAGGAAUGUGAUCUCCUUUUCUUAUUUUGAUUUCUUAAGGAAUUACAGUUAAGAGAUUGCAUGAGUGUCAGAAGAGACUUUGAAUUUUGGACUUUUAACACUAUUGAGACUGUUAGACCAUGGGAGCUUUUGAAGUUGAACUAAAUGUAUUUUGCAUUAUGUUAUGGCUAGGUAUGACCCCCAUAGACUCAUAUGUUUGAACAAGCCAGGAAGUGAUAUGGUUUAAAUAUGUUUGGUCCAGAGAGUGACUCUAUUAGGAGGUGUUGCCUUUUUGCUGGAAGUGGGCCACUGUGGGAGUGGGCAAUGAGACCCUCUCCUCCUAGCUGUCUGAAGUUAGUCUCUCCUGUUUGCCUUCAAGAUACCAACAAGAUACCUAGAACUCUCAGCUCCUCCAAUGCCAUGCCUACUUGGAUGCUGCCAUGCUUCCCACCAUGAUGAUAAUAGACUGAAGACAAACUAAGACAAGCAGGGAAGGUUUGCUCCUGACUGAGAAGCCAUGGUCAGCUGACAGUGUUGCAAGGAGGAGGAGUCGGUCUUAUUUAUGAGUAUAGCCUCUGUAAGUCAAACCAUGUUCCAGAGGAUGGCCCCACCCAAGAGUACAACACAAAUUGAACCUGGCAGGUUAUUUUUAAGAGGGGCGGGGCAUGAAGUUGAAAGUGGGUAGUUAAGUGGGGAAAGAAUCUGGGAAGAGCCAAGGGGAGGAUUGAGGGUGUGGCUAUGAUUUAAAUAAACUGCCUGCAUGAAAUUCUCAAAGAAUAAAAUUUCUGAUAUUUUUAAAAAGACUUUGCUAGUGGCUUCCCAGGAAGGAGGGAAACUAGGACCUAGACCCAAGCAGCCAGGCCUUGGAGAUCCAUUAGGGUGGCUAUUCCACUUUUAGAAUGUGUUUCUCAAGGGUAUCUCCUGGAGGUCCGGCUAUUAAUAUGCUCCUUGGGGUUCGCCUGGCAUCACGGUUCUAAAGACAAAACAUCUUUCUUUAAAAAAAAAAUUCUAGUUAUCUUGAUAUAGUCAAGAAAAACAGACUGGGACCUCUAACUUAAGAGCAGACAUGUAAUCUGACCAAAUGAGUCAUGAGUCUGACCCAUCCUCUACUUAAUGAUUGGUCCACUGAAGCAUGUGAUCAAGGUUGACCAAUCGGAGACAAUCCUGGCCGGGACUUGUGUUUUUGAGUUGGCUUUUUCCUGAUAAGGUGGCUAAGUGCUAAGGCGUAAGAUUAGGAUCCCUUUGGACAUCUUUGCCAAUACUUGGGAAGGGGCAGGCUGGAUGAAUGGGCCAUGUGAAGGAGGAAACAUGAAAGGUGGACAGUCCAAACUUGCUGACAUCUUGCUCCCUCAACUCCCUCCUCCUCAACCCACACAGCCUCAGAGCAUGAACCAAGUGUGCCCUUUUGCUUAAGAUGGGCCUUGCUGGGUUUCUGUCACUUUGAACUAAGCCCUACUUAAUGCAUUUCUCAGCAUCUCUGAGGCAGCAAGAACCAAGCUAUUGUCAGGGAGUGAAAGACCUGUGAAAGUCAGUCCAGAUAGGAUUUGCAUGAUAAGAAGAUCUUGUUUCAUACAGAGCAGCCAUCUAAAGUGGCCUGGGAUGGAAGGUCUGCAGCGUUGCCACAUGUAUGAGCCAGUGGACCCACAGUGAAGAGGGUGAAUGAGUUCCGUGGAGGUUCAGACACAUCUGUGGCCAUCAGAAGGAGCAAAACUAAGAAACCGAAAGGAGCCUUUGCUUCAGGUCCUGGUGUUCAUUCUGUUCGUCUCAAUGAACACAAUCACGGGUCAAUCCAUGCUUCAAGUGUUCAGCAGCCAGUGUCGCCCACGACCUUCACCUCGGAGACAGAGCUCUAGACAAGAAUCUGACUCAAUAUUCGUCGUAUGAGCAAUCUUUAAGGUAUUGGAGACCAUGCUCCCUGGGUCUGCACAUCAUACAAGACCUGAAGAGAAUACAGGUGUUGAGCAGUUGGAUUUGGGUGCUGACAACUGGGACCGGUGACAUGAAUCCAUCAAGAGGACAGCUCAGCCAAGACCUAAGUUGUUUCCUACGAGACCUUUAAGAGGAGGGGGGCCUGGGUGCCUAUAGAGGGGAGAGUCAGCUGAUACCAUUUGAGCUUAAACACAAAACAAGUAAGAUAUGCAGCAGCAUAUGUCCUUGGUGACUUUUACUUUGGAUAUUUAGAGCAUGUUUUCAGGAGCCACUAGGGUGCUGAGACUACUCAAACCAAAGCUUGUAAGGUAGGGCCAGAAAAGUCAGAGCCUUCAACACGGAGAACGGAAACCCCAGCUUUCUGAAGCCAGCAUCAGUGACCAUCACUCAGGAUCAGUGCCAAUACCACCCGAUGAUGAGUCACUCUACACUUCAGAAAACCAAACCAGGCAACCUAAUGUUGAGAAGCACACUGGGAGAUCUAUGCUGUAUUAUUUUGCUGGCUCUCUCUCUCAUUCGGACUUCUUCCAAAGCUACAGGCAAGGUGUCAACAGACAGUGGCCUCUGGGUCCUUGAUGCUACUUACUGUAAAAUAAAACAUUUCUGUCUCC